rnacentral:rRNA from 1 species
GACGUAGGGCGCGAGCGUUGUCCGGAUUUAUUGGGCGUAAAGAGCUCGUAGGCGGCUUGUUGCGUCGACUGUGAAAACCUGCGGCUCAACCGUGUGGUCUGCAGUCGAUACGGGCAGGCUGGAGUUCGGUAGGGGAGACUGGAAUUCCUGGUGUAGCGGUGAAAUGCGCAGAUAUCAGGAGGAAUCACCGGUGGCGAAGGCGGGCAUCCUGG